CCCUUAGAUGUUCUGGGCUGCACGCGCGCUACACUGCUGCAAUUAACGGGUUUUAUGUGCCGAAAGGCUUGGGGAAUCCUUUGAAUAUGCGGCGUGAUGGGGAUAGAAUGUUGUAAUUAUUACUCUUCAACGAGGAAUUCCUAGUAAGCGCGAGUCAUCAGCUCGCGUCGAUUACGUCCCUGCCCUUUGUACACACCGCCCGUCGCUACUACCGAUUGAGCAUUAGGGUGAAAUCUUCGGACCGUGGCAUACUUCUGGCUUAGCCAGUCUUUGUCCGUGGGAGGUCGCUUAAAUCCUGAUGCUUAGAGGAAGUAAAAGUCGUAACA
rnacentral:rRNA from 1 species